CUAUAAUAGUAUAAAUGUUUUAAUAAGUUAUGAAAUUUGUUUGUAAUGUUAUGUUAUAUUUAUGGUUCAUUGGCCGCUGCUUAUGCUGUGAUUAUGCGGUCCGUUAAGCAAGAACGCAGCACAUCUCAAUACUCGUAAUGGUGUGUUCUCGCGUCCUUCCGAGUUCGUUCUUCCAAGGAAGCUUAGCAAGACCGGUCUCCACGAGAACGCAAGUCCGUUCUUUGCGUUCUUGGAAUUGAGAAACAGCCACAAUGAACCAAUACCAACAGAUGUCACGGCACCCCAAAUCAUCUCUGACUUCAGAAACUUGGACUUUGGAUUCUGUGCCUCUCCAGCCUACCUCCAGACUCUGCGCUUGAUUUCCAAAUGAAAUGCAAAAUUUACUUUCAUCUGAAAAGAGGACUUUGGACCACUGAGCAACAGUCCAGUUCUUUUUCUCCUCACCCCAGGUGAGAUGCUUCUGACGUUUUUUUUUUUUUUUUCUGGUUCAGGAGUGGCUUGGUUCUAGGAAUGUGACAGCUGUAGCUCUUUUCCUGAAGACGUCUGAGCAUGGUGACUCUUGAUGCGCUGACUCUGGCUUCAGUCCACUCCUUGUGAAGCUCUCCCAAGUUCUUGAAUCGGCUUCUCCUGACAGUCUUCCCAAGGCUGUGGUCAUCCCUGUUGCUUUUGCACCAUUUCCAACCACACUUUUUCCUUCCAGUCAACUUCCUAUGAAUAUAUUUUGAUACAGCACUCUGUGAACAGCCAGCCCUUUCAGCAAUGACCUUCUGUGGCUUACCCUCCUUGUGGAGGGUGUCGAUGAUCGUCUUCUGGACAACUGUCAAGUUUAUUCUAUUCCAUUGUGAACUACACUCUUCCACUGUGAAUGGAGCCAGCAGCUGAGGGGUCUCCAACAACAAGUGUUCCCCAGAGAGCGGUGAACAGAUACGGCUGUAGAACAAAGCUGCAAUGCUUUUGUGAAGCCAAACUGUAAACUCUACGUUUAGUAUUCCUGGAACAUUUCAGCAGCGGUCGGGUCAUGUUCCGCUCUUGAUAUAUAGACUGAAUCUUCGGUCCUAAGCUGCACAACUUGAUAUGUGGC
ensembl:lncRNA